UACAGGGGGGGCAAGCGUUGUUCGGAAUUCUGGGCGUAAAGGGCUCGUAGGCGGCCAACUAAGCCCGACGUGAAAUCCCCAGCUUAACCUGGGAACUGCGUCGGAUACUGGAUGGCUUGAAUUCGGGAGAGGGAUGCAGAAUUCCAGGUGUAGCGGUGAAAUGCGUAGAUAUCGGGGAGGAACACCUGUGGCGAAAAGCGGCUCACUGGACCACAACUGACGCUGAGGCGCGAAAAGCUAGGGGAGCAAACAGG
rnacentral:rRNA from 1 species